CCCAUCUUCCUCACUUCAUCAUCACCAUAUUCACUUUCUCCUUUCAUUGAAACACAGAAAUCUCCCACUCCCAAGAACUCUAAUCCCUAAUCGCCAUUUUUGUACUCUUCAUCUCACAGCGUCAACCGACGACGAUUCUCUCUCCUCCCAAUUCAUCCCCGAAUUCCACAUCCACCGUCAAUGAUUUCUCACAUCCACCGUCAAUGAUUUCCCACCCUCAAUCUUUCAACCAAACACAGACCAACAAUCUGUAACGCAAUCAAACCCACUUUAUCCUCCAACUGGCUUGUUUCCCAUGAUUUAUCUGCCAAAACCGCUUCUCCAUGGCUUCCCAACUUCGAAGAACUUGACACCACCAACAUGCUUCUCCGUCAAAGGAUUGUCUUUUUUGGAUUCUCAGGUGGAUGAUACGACAACAGAUUUUGUAAUCAGUCAACUUUUGUUUUUGGAUGCUGAUGAUCCUAAGAAAGACAUCAAGUUGUUCAUAAAUUCACCUGGUGGUUCUGUUACUGCUGGAAUGGGAAUUUAUGAUGCCAUGAAGUUAUGCAAGGCAGAUGUGUCAACAGUUUGUCUCAGACUUGCAGCAUCCAUGGGUGCAUUUCUCCUUGCUGCUGGUACAAAAGGGAAGAGAUAUUGUAUGCCGAAUUCUAGAGUUAUGAUCCAUCAACCGAAUUCUGAUGAUGAUGACCUUUGCUAUUGAGGAGUUAGGGAUCAACAUCUUUCAGGUUAAAAUUGGAGAAUCAAAUUUAGAAUCCAUCAACUUGUUCAAAAAAUUGGGGUUUGUGGAAACUUCACAUAGCAACAUUUUCAAAGAGGUCAGCAUACUUAAUUUCAAGUUUUUAGAAGGCGCCUUAACUUGUUGGCUAAAGUACCUAUGUUCUGUUCUCUUUAAGAAAGAAUUGCAAUCAAAUUGUUUUUGUAGUUUUAAAAAUCAAAUUUCCGACAUCAGCAUGUGAACUAAGAUAAGUCUCAUUUUGGCUUCCCCAGUUUUAAUUCACUGUUGGAAUAAUAAUUCAAUAAAUAUCCAUAUAAGAUGUUCGUAACUGUGAGUUAUUUGUUUACUAUAAAAUGUAACAACUAGCUCAUUUUUGUAAUUGAGCUGCAGGUCGAUACAAACCAAUUAUGGUUCGGUCUCGUCAUAUGUAUAGUGUGAUUUUUCGGUGAAUGUUGUUCAUAGUAUUAGUCAUUUAGUACGCCAUCAAAAGUCAUUUGGAACGACGUCGGAACCAACUCAGAUUUGGUUAAUGUUGUCAUGGUUGAUGACAGAGCGGGGGACUAAUAAUCGGUUCACGCAAAGAAUUCAUAUGACUUUAAGGGGUCUAUCUUCUAGGGGUUUCAAUCAUAUCAUAGACGAUAUCAUAUUCCCGGAAAAAUCGAAGAGCGCCAUGGAUGUAAUUUCUAAUAAAAGUACUGAGCCUAAAACAUGAACGGACAACGGCAAAGGCUAACGGCAACAUCACUGUUCUUUAGUUCUUUGCUUUUCUUCUUCGCUUUCUUCUUUUUCCGAUUUUGAUUAGCGAUCUCAAAUUGAGUCUUGUUGAUUGCGUGUUGUUGAUAGAAUUAGAAGUUGACUAUCGUGUUGUUGUUGAUGCAGAUGAAUGAAGAUGAGCGACGUGUAUUGCAUUGCAAAGAUGAUGAAGCUUCAAUGGCUCUGAGAUUGGUGCGAUAGAAUUGCGUUUAUCAAUCGAUGAAGAGAAAGAAUCAGCAGAGAUAAAGAGAGCUCUCUGUGUGAUUGAAGAACUGUGAAGAUGAACGAAAUGGAGAGUGAAUUGUGGAGGAGAAGAAGAAUGGUGGAGGAAAUGGUGGAGGAAAGAUGGUGUGGGAAAGUGGAGAAGAGAAUCCAGAGACCCUGUAAGUGAUGGAAGUGCUGACUUAUAUAGAUUCAAAAGGCAGAGACUUCAGGGCUAUUGGUUGUUGCUCGUUUGAAUUUGUGGCAUUGCUGAUUUAGUAUUGAUGGGAAAAAUAUGAUAUGGUUCUGUUUUUAUAUUUGAAACAGGGACUGAUUUCUGAUAGGUUAUGAAUGUGGUUUUGGUAGCAAGUGUUCAAAAAAAUUGCUUAAGUUCAGUGAUGUUGCUAUAAGAGCAUAUAUAGUUUUCUGACAGUGAAAUCAAAGGGAAAUCAAAGGGCUUAUCGUGAUAAAAUUUAUUUCUGUUGUAUGUAGUUCUCGUUGGAUCUGUAAAAAAAAUGUGAUGAUUGCUAUUUGCUAUUCACUCUAAAUUGGAGUUCCCUCGAGCUCAAACAACAUAAUGAAAAACUCACAUGGAAAGUAGUAUAUAUGUUUGAA